rnacentral:rRNA from 1 species
AUGCGUUUUGUGCGGCGCAUCCAGGAGUCUGAGGUGAAGGAGGCUUUAAAAAGGAUGAAAGGAGGCAAGGCGAUGGGCCCUGAUUGUAUCCCCAUUGAGGUGUGGAAAGGUCUCGGGGACAUAGCGAUAGUAUGGCUAACCAAGCUUUUCAACCUCAUUUUUCGGGCAAACAAGAUGCCAGAAAAAUGGAGACGGAGUAUAUUAGUACCAAUCUUCAAGAACAAGGGAGAUGUUCAGAGUUGUACUAAUUACCGUGGAAUUAAGCUGAUGAGCCAUACAAUGAAGCUAUGGGAGAGAGUCAUUGAGCACCGCUUAAGAAGAAUGACAAGCGUGACCAAAAAUCGGUUUGGUUUCAUGCCUGGGAGGUCGACCAUGGAAGCCAUUUUCUUGGUACGACAACUUAUGGAGAGAUAUAGGGAGCAUAAGAAGGACUUGCAUAUGGUGUUCAUUGACUUGGAGAAGGCCUAUGAUAAGAUACCGCGGAAUGUCAUGUGGUGGGCCUUGGAGAAACACAAAGUCCCAGCAAAGUACAUUACCCUCAUCAAGGACAUGUACAAUAAUGUUGUGACAAGUGUUCGAACAAGUGAUGUCGACACCGAUGACUUCCCGAUUAAGAUAGGACUGCAUCAGGGGUCAGCUUUGAGCCCUUAUCUUUUUUGCAUUGGUGAUGGAUGA